CUGACACUGACAGAGAAGCAGAGAGGCACUAUGCAUGGUUCCAAAGUAAUGGCCUGGGGAGACUUAACUGACCUUAAUAGAUAACAAGAGGUUCAUAUUGAUUGACACAGGUCUCACUUUAACUUGGUCUUAAACACCCAGCAGAAAAAAUAACCAAAAGAGGCACAAAACAAUGACAUAAUAAUAAAGCUAGACUUCAGAAAAAUUAAGACAUAGCCCACCCAUUAAAAUCUUUUGGUUCACUCAUGACACAGCCAUUUCAAAAAGACAAAACUUUGGGUACUAAAUAGAAGCAAAAAUCAUUAAUUAGCUACAAGUGUGUACAGAUUCUUUUCAAAAAAAUUUUAAAAAUUCUUUACAGGUAACCAAUCCUAGAAACCACUGGUCUCCAGAUCUCUCCUUUUAGAUAAGUGUUUUUCUGAUUCUGUGAUAACUAAUUAACUAUCGUGUAAUGAUCAAAAAAACCCCAAACAAACCAUAAAGUAAGAGUAUUGAGAAAAAAUCACGUGCUUGUCAGCCACAGUCAGGAUAAGUUCUAUACCAAGCAGCUACAAGAUUUAUUCCUUUUAAAAUAAUGUACAUCCUUGUUCUCUGUUUAUGAUGCCUCUUCUCAUUGUGCUCAUAUUUCCUGGAUACCUACCCUUGUCUAAAAAGAUCAAGCCUUUUAUGUUACACUUGAUCACCUUAAGUCGUCCAGUGUCCUUGUUGAGGUUAUCAGUUCUCUUUAUUUUUAAAUAUAUCUAGGAGGCCUCCAAAAACUGAGAGAUACAGGAAUAAAACUGUCCUGGCCUUGAAUUUAAAGAAGAAGUCAGGUUCAUAGUAAUACUACACUCAUCGGUAUGUUGGCCUCCAAAAGACAUUUGCUCAGUUACAUACACCUUUUAUAUUCCCCCCCGCCCCAAAAAAAGGAUUAUAAAGAUUAUAUAAAUUGUGUUUAUCACUUUUCCACUCAUUCUCUAAGAGCAAGGACAUGACACAUGGGCCCUUAGAUCAGGAGCUAUGAUCUCUUCCAUAACAGUCUCUUACUUCUAUAACAAAUGAGCCCCUAAACAUCCAGCUGUCUCUGUAAAACCUAUGUAAAUAAUAAAUAAAAAAUUACAUGUCAAAUGAAAAAAAUUAAAACUCAAUGGGCCAGAUAGAUAUGCCCCCCAAGGUACUAAUCAAUGGUGGGGUACGUUUGGUUCCUGGAGCUCAUGGCUCACCUGGCUAUUACCACUCUUGGGACCCCUCAGUAUUAUCUGUUUAAUUCUCUGUUUUGGACCAUGCCUGGUUCGCUGUUUUCAAAAUUUCUUGCAGAAACGAUUGAGGGCAUUCACCAGCCAGUCACAGAGUCCAUCAUGGCAGGGUACCAGCCAGUACGGCAAAAGGAGGAGGUCCCCACUUGCCACGUGCCUCAUCAGAUCCAGGUCUAGCCCCGAUCUUCGCCCCUUGUCAGCAGGAAGCAGCUCCAGAAGAAGAGACCUUCGCCCAGCUAUCAUAAAACAAAAGCCUGGAAUGAUAGGUCUCCCACCACCUCAGCAGCUAUUAAGUAUAGUAGCUGCCCUCUUCCUAUGGUGCCUUGCCACCUCCCCUGUGUGACAUCAUGCCAAGAUGGUUGCUCCCACCAAAGAACAAACCCUUCUUCCCAGCAUGCCCCUGUUCCCACCUAGACAGUAACCUAAUACUCGCUCACCUCCUACCACCUAGUGACAUCACCGGCUCCUCCAUUCCCUAGUCACUACCUCACUCAACCCCCCCUCAGCCCCUACAAACCCCACCCCAGUCUCUAUAAAAGACUCUCCCUGCCCCAGCCAUAUUGCUUUUGUCUCUCCUUUGUUCAGAGACAGCCCGGCAGAUCUGUUCCCCUAAUAAAGGCUUGUUGUGGCCUGGUCUGGUCUU
rnacentral:lncRNA from 1 species